UUUUUUUUUUUUUUUUUUAACUUCUGGAAUAACACACAAAGUUCAGUAAAUAUUAUUCAAAUAUUUGUGAAGUCAAGGCUGGUAUCCUCAUGUCUGACAGCAGCUUCCUUGUGUCCUCUCUCUGAGCUUGGAAAGAUCAACCCAUCUGAAAGGAAAAUACCUCAGUGACAUGUUUACUUUUUUCACAGCUUGUUUUCUUGCCUGGAUAGGAAAGCCUGAGGCCAUCAGUGUUUAAAUCUGGGUUUAAAACCUGCAAGCCUGUUGUGGGCUGGCAGGUGGAGGCACAGCCGCAGCUUGCAAGAAUCCCUCACCCUGAACUCCCAAAUAUUCUCUGCAGAAGUUAAAGAUUUCCUGGCAGUCAGUGCAGGGGGAUGGGCUGUUCCAGUCUCCAUUUAAAAUUUUCAGAUGACUUUAGUGUUCAUUCAUGCCCAAAGUUAUACCCUUUUGUAUUCAUUCAUUUGAUCUUAUCUUGUUUUUCCUGUUGGCCCAGGAAACCCUCUCCCCUCUCAAUCCUGAUAUUUAGGGAUAUCAUUAUCCAUCAGCCAGGACUUUUCAAUAUCUAGUGCUAAAAUAAAUAACAAAAAAUAAUAAAAAAUAAACUGAGCUUCUCCACCCUGUCUGCAUAAGCAACAUUUCCAGGCCCUGAAUCACUUCUGGGGCACUUUUCCUGGACACUCCCAAUGUGCCACCCUUCUCUUGGCAAGGGGACACCAGAGCUGGGGACAUGGCCCUCCCUGCUCUCACCCCAUUGUCACAGCCACAGGAAAUGCACCCUCCAUCCUCGCCCCAGCACAGCUGAUGGGACAGUCAGAGUUACUGCAGGUCUUUGAAAUCACAAAUCCAAGGACUGGCCCUGGGAGCCUGGAUUACCUCUGAGGGGACACAGAAAUGUUUUUAGAGGUUGUCCCACUAAAAUAAGGCUAAAAGUCAUGGUUCUGCCAUGGCUUUCACGUACUUUCCUUUCCAAGAAAGAGGUUGUCCCAUCCUAUAAAUCACACCUUCCCUUUUCCUAGAAUCUCCUUGUGGUUGUACUAAAAAAGGCAAUUCUGGCUUGCACCAAGUCGAGUGAUCUGGCUUAUUUUUUAGCAGCUGUCUAAAAAUGUUACCGGAAGGGUUUUCUUUUUUCCCUUAACAGGUAAAACUCAAGAACCAACCACUUUGCAACCCCUCUGUGAACCCCACACACUUCCCCAGGACAGCUGCACCUCCCAGCCCCCUUUGUCCUCCCAUCAGGUGAGCUGUGAUGGCUUUGCUUUGUUAGAAUUUAUCAAUUUAUCUGAGCAGCAGACUCCACUCCAGCUCUAUUUGUACCACGGCCUGACGCCAAGUCAAACCACACAACCAAGGCUGUGGCAUUGACAAGAUCCUCUUUAUCAGUGCAAAUCCUAGCCCUGUAGAAAUAGAAUCGUUUGUAGAGGUCUAUUUUCAUCCUUUUCUGGGCUUGGCAUCAGUUACACCCCUCUUUUAAUUAACUACAUGUUGCUUUGUAUUCAGAGCCAUCUCAGUAUUUCAGCAGUGACGGAUGCCAAGCUGGCAGCCUCCAAAUAACCCAAGGGGCCUCAUUGCCCUUUGCAAAAUACUGGCUUCUUUCUGGAGCUCCUCCCACAGCCUGAAUAUAGCAGCAGGGUUUGGGUCUGGGACACCGAAGCCCCACGCUGCCCUCAGAGCACGGAGCCACAUCCCCGUGUGAGGUGGGCACUGCUGGCUCCUCCUGGGCAGCAGAGGCACGUGGUGGUGUGGAGAGGGUCUCACUGUCCUUUGCCAGCUCUUUUCCUUUCUGACUGGGGCGAGGAUUUGAACUCAGCCCGUCCCAAGUGUCGCUCCCAAGCAUUAAUCUCACAGGGUGCCUCUGUUUCCAUGACCCUAUUUCCACCCUCAGCGUUACACUCCACUCCAGCUCCGUGAGCUGUUCCAGAUGUUUUGGAAAACCCCUUGCAGUUUGGUAAAAGCUCCAGAAAACAAGAUAAUUUCUCCCAUCAGAGAGAUCUAAAGGAGGAGGAGGAGGAGGAGGAGGAACAACAGCAGAGGAUGUGAGGAGCAGAGUCAUGGUUGGAUAACAUCUCCCCAGGCUACCAUCCACAUCAAGUACAAACCAGGAAUGAUGAAGUGCUGAGGCAGGUCAGAGCUACCACAGAUCUCUCUUGAAGACAAAGGCCAAACCCCUGCAUCCCGGUCCUUUUCCAUCAGUGGGAGUUUUGCCCCUGGCUGCAGCAAAUGGCAUUUCUCUCUGAGCCUGCUCCACAGCCCUGAGGGGCUGGAGACUCACCAUCAUGACAGGAGCAGGGAAGAUGGAUACAGCACAUUCUGGAGCUGCAGCUCUGUCCUCAGCUCCUGAGCGUGCCUUGGCUUCUCCUGAGCUGCUACUGAGAUGCAGAUGGGAUUCAAUCCCAAUUCCCAGAGCUGCCCUGUGAGCAGGAAAACUGCAGCCAACGUGUGGGUGGGUCUGGGUGGAGCCUUCUGUGGAUUAAACCCCUUGGUCCCCCAACACUGCGCUCUUCCUGCCAGUUUGUGUCCCUUCCUCUUGCUGAAACCUUGCACUAACAAAUGUUUCAUUCAUAAAGCAUCCCUUCACCUCCCGUGCUGAAAUUCUCACGCUCUAGUUAGGUCUAUCCAUAACUAUAUGGAAUCAAAUUACAUAGAAAGCCAGCACCAGAAAUAGAGAGGGACUAAACCAACAGCCUGGAUUCAGCCUCCACCCAAGCAGGAGUCACUGGAAGCUGGACCUGCCUCCAGACUUUGUGGCUGGAGCCCAUCUGCAAGUCUAAAAGCCAAAGUGAAAAUAGAGAAGAAACCAAGUAACAUGGCAUCUCCUGCCUUGACCACAGGCUCCCUGGGGCAGGGCCGCCUGUUUGUUUGUCUGGAGAAGAAUUUCACUGUCUGCGGAUGAGGAGCUGGGGCGGGGCCCGGGAGUCGGGUUAGGGGCAGAGAGCAGCGGAGAGGUGGAGGUGGGCUUGGUGCUCCUCCAGCUCCAGCAGCAGGACGGGCAGCAGCAGAUAUGGCUAUAGGGAAGGCCGUGAUCCCCCUUGUUCAUUCCUCAGCACUACUGUGACCCCAAAAUCUCCAAAAAAUGUGGUACCAUUGGCUGCCACCUCCUUGGCUGCUGCCCAGCUCUGGGGUGUGACAGCAAGGCAGCUCCUCCUGGACAGUGCUGGGGAGAGGCUGAGGGGAGCCAGGCAAAGGAGAGAGGCCUCUGGGCAAAGGCACCUCCCGGCCCCUGGGCUCAGGGGGCUGCUGGAGCCUCUGGUCCUUUCCAGCUGAAACCUGGCACCUGAGAGCUGCCCCUCACAGCUGGAACGUGUGCCUCUCCUGUGCCUCUCGCUUUGAGCUAUCCUGGUCACACCAGGAAACAAAUGCAUUUGGUUCCCUAAAUGGGAGAAGGUUUUUUGUCAUCGUCGUCAUUUUUCUAGUUUCGCUCUUUGCUAGCAGCCCUUCCUCUUCCUCCCUGCUCUCCAAAAUAGCAAAAAGCUGCAUCCUCCUCCCCAGCUGCCUCUUGUAGGUUGCUGCAACACCCAGCACUUCUCCUCAGCCACCAGUAGCAAAGGUCAGAGCCCACGUGGAGGGGACCAGUGCUCCAAGCUCAAGGGUUUGUUGCUGGGUGGCCUAAAGCAGGUAUGUGUGGGGUCCUGCUGGUACUGGUACCUUUGGAUGUGUGCCACACCCUGCCAGGCUGAAAAUGUCCUUCCUACCACUCACCUCUGUGUCAUCCCACCCUCCCACAGAGCCUGGGAUGGGGAGUGGACCUUACAUCCCUUCUUCUGCUGUCACUGUGCCUCUGUUGCAGCAGGGCAGAUGAUGAGCUGGUGCCUCGGUGCCACGGGACCAAGAGAAGGAAGCAGUGGUGGUGCAAGGAGUGGUCAAAGAGUCAGAGGUGGAGGAAGGACAUGCUCAGGCUGUCAGAGCUGCAAGCCUGCCAGUCCCUAAACCCUUUUUGUUGUCCAAACCCAGAGUUCCUCCCUGACAAAUGCCUCCCUGGUGGUCUCCUUGGGGUGGAGCUCACACUUCUAUCAGCAGCUCCAGGAGCCCAGCAUGAUGCCAUCUAUUGUGUCCUAGCCCUGACCACCACUGAUCUGCCUGGAGGAAAAACUGCUCAUCCUGGUUGGAGGCAGCACCAUCUCUGCCCCCCUGAUGGAUGGUGGCUCUCGGACAGAGCUCUCCAGGCUGGCUGCCUGCUGGGAAGGGGCUGAGCUGGCUCUGACCUUGGCACAUCUUCCUCCUGGAGUUUUUCUGCCUCCUUUGGUGCCAGUCACCAUCUGAGCCCAAACUGGACCUUCUCUAGGAAGCAGCCUGUGGGACAAAGGUUUUCAGGUGUGAUGAGGAUAUCAAACUGGAUGGAAAGGUUUUUAUGAUGUCAGAACCUAUGACUCCUUAAUAAAUCUCAAUAGAAAAUAGUGAAAAGGAGAGCAAAACAAAUUCCAAAGUCCCGCAGACCCGAGCAGUCCUCAUGAAACCUGCCAACAGCCAAAGGGCUCCAGCACACGGCAGACACCUGUGACUGGCUGCUCCCUGAACUCCAGAGCAUCCCUAAAACCUCACAGGUUGCCUCCCUGCCUCUUUCCACCGCUCCAGGCUUUUCUCUCCUCUGCAUCUUCUCCAAACCCUCCUGCGGGCGCACGACUGCGGCUCAGCCCACGCGCCGCUCCCGGGCAGCAGCUCAGGCUUUGAUAGUGGAGCGUGGCCGCCUGUGCCGUGCUCAGGCCUGUUGCCACGUGGGCUCCCUGGCCAAGGGCUGGCACAGAUCUUGCAGGGGAAGCAUCAGCAGGAGAUGGUUGUGCUGUUACUUGCACAGGAGCAGAGCACACGGCCAAGCUGCAGCCCCUCCAGUGCUGUGCCGCCUCCUCCCUCUCUGCUUUGGGGUGGUAAAUCAUUCAACAUGGAAUAACAGCUGCUCAAACUGAGGAGGAAGGGCUCCCAGAGGCAAACCUCACCUGGGAAGACACUGGGAAGCGCUUCUGAACUGGCAAGAGUUGGCAAUGGGGAGUGAAGGGGGAUUUGACAAUGCUGAUGCUGCUCCUCAGGAACAGGGACUCAAGAAUGAGCAGGGAGAAUUCACACAUAACCUCCCUCCCCCUGAGGAUCUGUCAUUGCUGUAGCUCUGAGCCAUUGUGGAGGGACAAGCAAUACACCCACACGCCAACUCUGAGGAGCACGACAGGGCCAAGUGCCAGCUCUCCUCCUUCUCCAUCAAUCACCAGGAAGAGGGAGACAGCUGUCUCCCUGAGGAGUUUGGAAGAUGUCAUCAAGGAGCAGGAUAAAUCAGGUCCCUGCAUAUACAACAGGGCAAUUAUUUACGGAUCAUUAAAUAUUGGCUCUAAAAACCCCAGGCAUUAAACAAGAGCCUGUGCCAGGUUGUGUGUUUACCUUCUGCCUGCACCUGACGUGCAGGAGUGACGAUCAGCACCAGCCAUGCCCCAAACCCAGCACUCCUUUCCUGUGGCUGCUUCCUCUUGCCAGGGGAUGGAAAUAUUUCAAGGAAACCCAAUUUCUAGGUACAAACUGCAACUGCCCUGGAGCUCUCUGACAAGGACCUUUCCAGGUAUGUCUGAGCUGGAUUCAAAACUGCCUGGGUUUUAUUUAAAACCUAUUUUCAGACUACUGAGUUUAGUGGAGUCACUGGUGAGGGCAAAGUGACCUACUCUGAUGUGGUUCUACCACCUUCUCCCUGGGGAAUUGAGCAGGAAAGCACAGCCAGGGUCAGCAAGCCUGGCAGGAUAACAGUGCACUGGUGUGGGCAGGGACCCGCUGGGAUCCUGGCUGCAGGGAUGCUGUGCUGUGGCACAGGUGGCUGCCCCAAGCCAAAGAAGGAGGAGUAAGUACAACCUGAUCUCAGCCACUCUCUGCCUCAGGGCUUCCACCUCUGCAAGACCCUGGUUCAGUUUGUGGCUGGGCCUGGCCAUCCCUGCCAGGAGCAGCAGCAAAGUGGCAGCAGGCAGUGCCUGGUGGGAUGCCCUUAUAAGAGCAAACUCGAGCUCCCAGCCAUAAACGAAACCCUUCUCUUUCAUUUACUCAUCUGACCUGGCGGUGCUGGAACUGAUAAUGCUGGUUUCCUUUUAAGCAGAGGCCAGUCAUAAAUAAAAUAAACCAGGCAUGCUUUGU
ensembl:lncRNA